AUUGAAGGUUUGUCACAAUCCUGUGUCAGCAAGACUUUCCUGUCUAAGUGCCAUUCUUCCAACAGCAUGUGUUCAUUUCAUGACUCUGUCAUAUUUUGCCAUGUGAAGAAAGAUGCGUUUGCUACUACUUUCACCAUGAUUGUAAAUUUCCUGAGGACUCUCCAGCCCUGAGGAACUAGCCCUACCGUGGCCUCACUGCACCACAAUUUUCAAGAAAAGACCCUGGGAAGCUGAAUUUUAACAAAUGUCCCAAGUGAUUCUUAUCAUCAAGGAAGACUGGAAAACACUGAUCUGGAUACUGAAGAUGUUGGACUUUGAAUGGUCUGUGAUAUGGGGCUUGCACGCAGGUGACAAGCACAUCAUGACCCAUAUAAUCAUGAGUGGCAUACCUGAGCAUGAAGCUCUUCCAUCACCUGUACUGCAGUCACCCAGACCCCUCACACUCCGUUGACUAUUCCAAUCCCAUUCCUACUUCAGGGACUUUGCACUUGCUCUUGCCCAGUCAGCAAACUCUUUUCCUAACUCUUCGAGUGAUUAAAUUCUAUUCAUCUUUUGCUACAUUCUCAAGAUAGUCUUCCCAGCUCUGCUCAGUUAAACCAGGUUUCCUGUUAAAGUCUCUUUGCACUUUUUACUUUUCUUUAUAAUAAUCAUUGCUUUUGUGGUUAUCAUAAUCUUGUGAUAAUGUUUUGGUAUCU